GGGGGCGAUCGGUUUCGACCGGAUGGCUGCGGUGAUGGUGGCAUGCCCAGGACGCACAGUUGGCCUGGUUAAAUACCUGUGCAAACAUUAACUGCUGACACCAACAGUGUUGCAGGCCGAGUCGGCUUCACCGCCGCCCCGGUAAUGGCUGCCUAAUUUAGGCGGUCUCGGCAUCGUGCGGACGCCCGCGACGCAUGAGCCGAAAAAGCGGGCUGGUCUUCGCAUUCGGCCGUUGAUGCGAGGAUGAGAAACAGACGGCUGGAAUCCAUCGCAGGGUGUCGAUCUUCGGCGAUGGAUUCGAGAUUAAAAGACCGACUAUGCAUGUAGAGGCCGUCAUCUGGGUUAUCUUGGGACGCGGGUUCAAUUCCCGCCGCCUCCAUUU
rnacentral:tmRNA from 1 species